GAAAAUAGGGAGAGAGAAGAGGAGAGUGGAGGAGGAGCCGGAUCUGUCGGAUCUUCCUCAACAUUAUACUUUUGCAGCAUCUGGUUCGUUCUUCAUCGUUCUCCAGGUUCUUCAAUUUAUAAUUCCCGAGUUCUUUAAUUUCUUUUAUUUACAUUCAAGUUAUUUAUUGGAUUCCCGCUUGCAUCAAGUGCUCUAGUCUUUAUAACGCUAGAGUAGUAAUUAAUAGAUUAGACGUGGUGUUUAGUCUUGCAAUUACCUGGAAUUGCACCCAAUCCUGCGGAUUGCUGUGGUAGCCUUAGGGUAGUGACAGCCCUAACGGUCGACGUAUUCCACCUCGUUCGGAUCGGUGUUUGUAGGACCGUAGUCAGACCUUCCUAGC
rnacentral:lncRNA from 1 species